AAACAAAAAAUCUCUGGGUCAAAAGUCUAAAACGCUUAGGCUGGCAACCAUCAGAUCCUUGCCCAUGGUGUCCUCAAGCCUACUCUCAUGAAAUGGACAACAGUACACGCAUAUGGGGCCAGUUCCACAUAUUUGGCAACCAGACCAGCAUCCAGGACAACACAAAGAUCUGCAAUCAGAACUAUUGAACUUCUCCAUUCAGACCGCCACUCACACCUAUGGGAAAAGGGUAAUGUAUCAUCGGCUUAGCAACAGGGAAUACUAUUCGUAUGAUGGAAAAUGGGGACAAAAGGCUUUGGUACAUAAAACAUUAUUCCUUCCUUGGCCUAAAAACUCAUCGCCACCUACAUUAAAGCUAAUAUGCCUGAUUACUGUUUUUAGAGAACUUAUUUUAUUAGGGCAGUUCCAAGCUCAAAAAUACGCUAACUGGCACCUUGUUAGCUACAUAAAAAUGCACCCUAGACCCGAAACUUACUAGACUCAUUAUAAAAUUUUCUUUAAGGUGUCCACGCAGUCCCUGGUCACACUUGAAGCAGUCCGGAGAAAUAUCAGCCCUACCCCAGUAAUCCCCAGAAGGAACUUACACUUUUUUUUAAUCUU
rnacentral:lncRNA from 1 species